AUCUCAUAAACAUACAUUUUGUAUUACUUGUUCUAAAUAUUAUAUGUUUCAGAAAUAUAUAGAAAAAUGAUUGGCAUCAUCAAUGGUCUUUUUUACUUAACACAAUAACAAGUGAAUUUUGGUUUGAACCCUGGCUGGGAUUGGUCAGAGGGGUUGGGGAGACCAUAGGUAGCAACAGCAAGCUGGGCUGCAGGGCAAUCACCUGUUGA
rnacentral:lncRNA from 1 species